UACGUAGGGUGCGAGCGUUGUCCGGAAUUAUUGGGCGUAAAGGGCUCGUAGGCGGUCUGUUGCGUCGGGAGUGAAAACUCAGGGCUUAACCCUGAGCCUGCUUCCGAUACGGGCAGACUAGAGGUAUGCAGGGGAGAACGGAAUUCCUGGUGUAGCGGUGAAAUGCGCAGAUAUCAGGAGGAACACCGGUGGCGAAGGCGGUUCUCUGGGCAUUACCUGAUGCUGAGGAGCGAAAGUGUGGGGAGCGAACAGG
rnacentral:rRNA from 1 species